GACGAACGCUGGCGGCGUGCCUAAUACAUGCCAGUAGAACGCUGAAGAGAGGAGCUUGCUCUUCUUGGAUGAGUUGCGAACGGGUGAGUAACGCGUAGGUAACCUGCCUUGUAGCGGGGGAUAACUAUUGGAAACGAUAGCUAAUACCGCAUAACAAUGGAUGACACAUGUCAUUUAUUUGAAAGGGGCAAUUGCUCCACUACAAGAUGGACCUGCGUUGUAUUAGCUAGUAGGUGAGGUAACGGCUCACCUAGGCGACGAUACAUAGCCGACCUGAGAGGGUGAUCGGCCACACUGGGACUGAAACACGGCCCAGACUCCUACGGGAGGCAGCAGUAGGGAAUCUUCGGCAAUGGGGGCAACCCUGACCGAGCAACGCCGCGUGAGUGAAGAAGGUUUUCGGAUCGUAAAGCUCUGUUGUAAGUCAAGAACGGGUGUGAGAGUGGAAAGUUCACACUGUGACGGUAGCUUACCAGAAAGGGACGGCUAACUACGUG
rnacentral:rRNA from 1 species